UCCACACUCAUCAUUCCACUAAACACUCUUUACACCUUCUUUUGCCAGCCAUCUUCUACACUUUAACAUCUCAACAUGCAAUUAGCUUUUAUUUAAUCAAAAUCAGCAGCCAACAUUCCUCCCAUUCCUCCUAACAUUUUGAUCCAAGCUAUACGUUCUUAUGCUUGAAUUAUAAUUCACUGAUUCCAGCUUUCCAAAUCAGUUUCCAAGAUUUCCCAAAACAAGAAAGAGAUCCAAUUUUGGUGAAUUCAGAAAGAAGAUUUUCCUCAUUUCCUACUCAUAUCAAGGUCCGGGCGACAGAAAGUGAAGCAGAAGAAGAAACGACUCCACGCCAGCUUUAAGAACAAUUGAGGUUGAGCAGGCGAUGGAAUGGAUUGGUGUUGAGUGGAUUUCUCUUUUGAUGUUUAUGUAAUGAAACCUUGAGUAUGCAUCUCCAUAUGCAUAACUCACACGUUUUUCCGCUGCAAACACUCUGAAUUUGUUAUCGUAUUGUGGAACUUAUUACUUCUUCAUUUUGUUUAACUUUCAUUUGGGGUUUAGUCGUUAUGGCUGACUCAUUUGUUAAUUACCCAAGUGGUUAUAUAUAUAUAUACCACUAGUUUGUUGUUAUUAAUGUUGGUUAUUUAGUAAAUCCCUUUUAAAUUUCCAUUUCUUAUUGUUCACCCAAGUCAUAACCCCGGUUAACCCGUCAUUGGGAUAGUGGGCUGUGACAGAGUGGUAUCAGAGCAGUUCAUUUGCUCUGGCCCUAGAAACCUUAUUCUAAAAAGUCAUGUCUAGAUUGAUUCACUUGACAUAUGUGGGAUCAUACGACACCGCUCAACACUCCAUUGCAUCGUGCUCAAUC